GACGAACGCUGGCGGCGUGCUUAACACAUGCAAGUCGAACGAAGUGGCGAACGGGUGAGUAAUACGUGGGUAACCUGCCCUCCUUUUUGGGAUAAGCCUUGGAAACGGGGUCUAAUACCGAAUAAAGGGGGAUGGGCUCGCGGCCUGUCCGCUUGUUGGUGGGGUAGUGGCGUACCAAGGCGGUGACGGGGAGCCGGCCUGAGAGGGUGACCGGCCACAGUGGCACGGAGAUACGGCCCAGACGAGGACGGUGUGGAGCAGUGGGGGAUAUUGCCCAAUGGGCGAACGCCUGAUGCAGCGACGCCGCGUGGGGGAUGCGGGCUUUCGGGUUGUAAACCUCUUUCGCUACCGAACGGGUAGGUGGAGAAGAAGCGCCGGCUAACUACGUGCCAGCAGCCGCGGUAAUUC
rnacentral:rRNA from 1 species